rnacentral:rRNA from 1 species
AGUGAGGAAUAUUGCGCAAUGGGGGAAACCCUGACGCAGCAAUGCCGCGUGGAGGAUGAAGGUCUUCGGAUUGUAAACUCCUGUCAGGCGGGAAGAAUCCCCGAAUCUCUAAUAUAGGUUCGGGUUGACGGUACCGCCAAAGGAAGCCCCGGCUAACUCUGUGCCAGCAGCCGCGGUAAGACAGAGGGGGCAAGCGUUGUUCGGAAUUACUGGGCGUAAAGGGCACGUAGGCGGCUCGACAAGUCGGAAGUGAAAGCCCACGUUUCAAGCGUGGAAGUGCUUCCGAAACUGUCGGGCUUGAGUUCGGGAGAGGAAAGCGGAAUUCCCAGUGUAGCGGUGAAAUGCGUAGAUAUUGGGAAGAACACCAGAGGCGAAGGCGGCUUUCUGGACCGAAACUGACGCUGAAGUGCGAAAGCCAGGGGAGCGAACGGGAUUAGAUACCCCGGUAGUCCUGGCAGUAAACGAUGAGUGCUAGGUGUGGGAGGUAUUGACCCCCCCCGCGCCGAAGCU